CUCGGAUCAGGUAGGAAUACCCGCUGAACUUAAGCAUAUCA
rnacentral:rRNA from 3 species